GUACUCUCACACUCCCAAUCCCUUGGAUUGGGAGCGGUGGACUUGGGUGUUGCAGCUUGACUGAGGCUCACCUGAAAUAUGUUAGUGCAUCUCUUGAUUGAACAUAGUACGGCGUGAUAAGUGUCUUCGCCGGCUCCUCGCAAAGAGGGUGGUCGAUCGGGAGCUCUGUGCUUCUUAAACUGUCUUCGGACAAUAUCUGACA
rnacentral:misc_RNA from 1 species